rnacentral:rRNA from 1 species
AGCGAACGCUGGCGGCAGGCUUAACACAUGCAAGUCGAGCGGGCACUUUCGGGUGUCAGCGGCGGACGGGUGAGUAACGCGUGGGAACGUGCCCUCUGGUUCGGAAUAACUCAGGGAAACUUGAGCUAAUACCGGAUACGCCCUUUUGGGGAAAGGCUUGCUGCCGGAGGAUCGGCCCGCGUCUGAUUAGCUAGUUGGUGAGGUAACGGCUCACCAAGGCGACGAUCAGUAGCUGGUCUGAGAGGAUGAUCAGCCACACUGGGACUGAGACACGGCCCAGACUCCUACGGGAGGCAGCAGUGGGGAAUAUUGGACAAUGGGCGCAAGCCUGAUACAGCCAUGCCGCGUGAGUGAUGAAGGCCUUAGGGUUGUAAAGCUCUUUUAUCCGGGACGAUAAUGACGGUACCGGAGGAAUAAGCCCCGGCUAACUUCGUG